ACGCUCGACACCUACGGAAGGCAGCAGUGGGGAAUAUUGCACAAUGGGGGAAACCCUGAUGCAGCGACGCCGCGUGAGCGAAGAAGUAUUUCGGUAUGUAAAGCUCUAUCAGCAGGGAAGAAACUGACGGUACCUGACUAAGAAGCACCGGCUAAAUACGUGCCUGCAGCCGCGGUAAUCUGAGCGGGCUGGCAAGGC
rnacentral:rRNA from 1 species